rnacentral:tRNA from 1 species
UGGGAUAUAGCCAAAGGGUAAGGCAUUGGUUUUUGAUAUCAACAUUUAAAGGUUCAAAUCCUUUUAUCCCAG